GGGGGCGUUUUUGGAUUCGACGGGGGUAGAUCGAGCAUAGGUAGCGGGUAGUGGGGACGCGUCCGCUUUAUCAACGCUAAAGCCAAUUAAACGGCAAACAACAAACAAACUACGCUCUCGCAGCUUAAUAACCUGCAGACGUGCUCUCGCUCUGUAUCGCCCAUGUACCGGGAUGAGGGCUCAACUUUAGUGGGAUACGCUGUCUAGUCUCCGCCUGCGGCUAGCUGAAGAAGACAAACAGGCUGACCCGAAGGGAAUCCGGUGACAGGGAGUCUCUAGGGUGACAUCAAAACUGUCACUACACCCGUAGAAGCUUAUGUGGCGUUGCCUUCGGACAGGGGUUCGACUCCCCUCGCCUCCACCA
rnacentral:tmRNA from 1 species